ACCCUUUGGUUCCCUUUCCCAUUGGAUCUGAACACCAAUCUUGUGGUCGUAAAGGAGGAAAAGUAAUAGUGAAGCUGGCCUCACGGUGCAUAUAGUCUGUGGACUAGUUUACAACAAGG